rnacentral:Y_RNA from 1 species
GGCCGGUCUCAAGGUAGCGCGUUACUGCAAUUCAUUGCUCACAGUUACAGAUCACAAAACUCCGUGUUCUACUCUGGCCUCCCUUCUCACUACGGCACUUGACUAGUCUAAA